UGAACGCUGCCGCACCACUUAUAGGGCAUGACCUUUUAUCAUCUUUUGUGAGCUACAGAGCUGUCAGAACAUAGGAACAAGGUGGAUGGGUCAUAGCUCUGCUGCCUUUUCUGGAGGCAUGUUCAGAAUUGCCACAUCAGACAAGACACCAGACACAUCAACAACAUUGAUCUGCUGCCUACACUUCAACCUCAGCCCCUGAGCGACAAAGACAAGUAGUUGUAUCGGGGGCCUAUGAUUUUAUUCUACAAUUAUCAGCAGUAUGACUUGCCCAUAGUCAUGAUUGCUCAUGGAUUGACAAGAAAUACAAGAAAAUGAUGCCACAAAAGAAGAAGCACCUUUCAAUUGCUUUCAUAAAAGUAGUACAGCAAACAGCUCUAUUUCUCAACAAGUUGAAACCGAUUGAGUCAAUGUCCCAGUUUCACAGGUGUGCCCCUCUCCUAAAGAUUCCCUCCAGAUCUUAGCCACCGGUUUCCUGUUUCUCAGCCUUACCCCCAUCUUGCCAACAUAGAUACCAGCAGGUACAAACUAGAA